rnacentral:rRNA from 1 species
AGAGUUUGAUCCUGGGCUCAGAAUCAACGCUGGCGGNGUGCCUAACACAUGCAAGUCGAACGCGAAAGUGGAGCAAUCCAUGAGUAGAGUGGCGAACGGGUGAGUAACACGUGGGUGACCUACCUUCGAAUGGGGGAUAACGUCCCGAAAGGGACGCUAAUACCGCAUAACAUCCUGCUUUUGAACAGGUGGAGAUCAAAGCCGGGGAUCGCAAGACCUGGCGUUUGAAGAGGGGCCCGCGUCUGAUUAGCUAGUUGGUGAGGUAACGGCCCACCAAGGCAACGAUCAGUAUCCGGCCUGAGAGGGCGGACGGACACACUGGGACUGAGACACGGCCCAGACUCCUACGGGAGGCAGCAGUGGGGAAUUGUUCGCAAUGGGCGCAAGCCUGACGACGCAACGCCGCGUGGAGGAUGAAGGUCUUCGGAUUGUAAACUCCUGUUGCCCGGGACGAAACAUUUCGACCUAACACGUCGAGACCUGACGGUACCGGGUGAGGAAGCCCCGGCUAACUCUGUGCCAGCAGCCGCGGUAAUACAGAGGGGGCAAGCGUUGUUCGGAAUUACUGGGCGUAAAGGGCGCGUAGGCGGCCUUCUAAGUCCGAACGUGAAAUCCCCNGGGCUCAACCCGGGAACUGCGUCCGAUACUGGAAGGCUUGAAUCCGGGGANANGGAUGCGGAAUUCCA